UGCCCCAUGGCUAAGUUGGUCAAAGCGUCCGACUGUUAAUCGGAAGGUCGUGAGUUCAAUCCUCACUGGGGCAG
rnacentral:tRNA from 1 species